rnacentral:rRNA from 1 species
GACGAACGCUGGCGGCGUGCCUAAUACAUGCAAGUCGAACGCAGUGGGGACGGGUGAGUAACACGUGGGUAACCUCCCAUCAGAGGGGAUAACACUUGGAAACAGGUGCUAAACCGAUACUGAUGGAUGGACCCGCGGUGCAUUAGCUAGUUGGUGAGGUCACGGCUCACCAAGGCCACGAUGCAUAGCCGACCUGGGAGGGUGAUCGGCCACACAGGGACUGAGACACGGACCAGACUCCUACGGGAGGCAAGAGUAGGGAAUCUUCGGCAAUGGACGAAAGUGUGACCGAGCAACGCCGCGUGAGUUAAGAAGGUUGUCGGGUUGUAAAGCUCUGUUAAUCGGGACGCGGUACCGGAAUAGAAAGCCACGGCUAACUACGUGCCAGCAGCCGCGGUAAUUC